UUAUGUACAGGGAGCCAUAGUUACCGUGGCUCCCGCCCACUGACUUCCGGCACCCGGGAAACUUCAGCGGCUCCCUUACAACAUGUCCCUGCACACAGGAUCCGGAUGCCGACGGCAUGACGGUGGCGCCGGUGCCGCGGCUGGGGAUGCUGGCGGGAGAGGCGGGAGGACGCGGUGUGUCCGAGGGGUGGAGAUCACAUUUCAAACACAGUACGAAAGCAAGCCACCACUUCCAGAACACAAGCAACACUGUCAAGAGCUGUGGAUGCUGGCGAUACAGGAACUUCAACAUCGCAUCACAGUCCAAAAAGACGUCCUUCACAGGGGUCUGGCAGCCACACGAGCAGGCCUACCAAGAGACGUCGUCCUGAUGUCGCACCAACACCAGCAUUAAGCCCACCCCCACGUCGUAUUUCAACUGUGUUGCCUCAGCCACCAGAACACAUUUUGGAGAGUCCUCAAUCACCGGAACCACAUUCCCCUCAGCUGUCUGGAAGUUGGUGUCACUUCCUGUCAAUAUGGUAUAAAUAUGAUCAUCAUACACACUCUAUCCACACUUUGAAAAAGGUCCCAGGAUGGCCGAAAUGCGUCAGUGAGGAGACAGUGGAUCUAUAUGGAACUUCCCCAACACUCUGGACACUAUGGUACAUAGGUACUCUUUUCAUUCAUUGAAUGCUGCAGUCCAGACCUGCCAUACGAUUUGUGAAAUCUUACAUCAGCCUGUAAUUUUGUGCUGGAAACCUUUG